GCCUCAUUAGCUCAGCUGGUUAGAGCGCUGUGCUUAUAGUACUAAAAAAUACUAUGAAUGCGUUGAGAAACGCGGAGGUCCUGGGUUCGAUCCCCAGAUGGAGCA